CAAACUGUUACCGCAACAUGAAGUCGUAACAAAAACCGGGGCUUAAGGUAACGAAGCCCCG
rnacentral:sRNA from 1 species